CCUGCACAGAAAUCAGCACAGUCAGUGAGGGAGAAGAUUAACCCCCUCCUGGCUGCCCUCAUCCUACACUGCAGCCCAUGAUGUAUGAAUAGGUCUUGCAUUCUCUCUGCACUCUUUGAUGCUGUGCCGAAGAUCAGAAGCACCGGUGCUGGAUUUAAGUUUUAAAAGGAGCUUAAAGGGGUUAUCCACCAUAAGAUCUGUGCCUGCUUCUCCUUGGAUUCCAAUUCUGCCUGACCCCUUCUGUACCAUAUUGACUCUCCUGUUGCCAACUCAGAUUGCUGACGUGAACCUGUGCAAAUCGCCUCAACCAUCUGCCUGUAUUGGACUAUGCCUCUGCCUCAUCCUUGGUUACCGUUUUGACUCUCCAGUGUACGACCCAGGCUGCUAACUACCUGUCUGAUCUCAUGGUGCCAAAUACAGAUACCUAAUGGUCUGCCGAGCUGACCACUACCCUUGCUGGGACUAUACUUUUGGAAAGACCUGAGGCCAGAGUGGGAGAACAAUCCAUGCAAACUUUAAACAUUAUUAUAACAUUGCACAAAACCUAUUUCACUUUGUAACACAAUUCAUUUGUUAGGUAUAAAACACAUUCUUCCCCUGUCUACAAUUUACACUUGUCUUCUUAAAGCAUACAACUCAUCUCUCAUAAAGCCAAUGCAGAAAGACAAUAACCUGAAACAGCAUUCCCAAGCUAAGUAAACACAUAUACACAUACAAUACCGUGAUGACAACACCAAUCUGUCGCUGGAACAAACAUUUAGUGCACAUCAGCAAAUAAGUAGCCAGCAAGGUUGGCUACAUUAUUUCUAUGGCGUGUUCAAGUGACAAAAAGCACAUG